GGUUUGGUCCUGGCCUUGAAGUCAAUUACUUCUUAAUAUACACAUGCAAGUAUCCGCCCCCCUGUGAAAACGCCCUUAAACUCCCCCAUAGGGACAAGGAGCUGGUAUCAGGCACGAAAUUCUGCCCAAGACACCUAGCUUAGCCACACCCACAAGGGAACUCAGCAGUGAUUAACAUUGAACAUAAGCGACAGCUUGACUCAGUUAAAGAAAAUAGAGCCGGCAAAUCUGGUGCCAGCCGCCGCGGUUAUACCACGUGACUCAAAUUGACCUUAACCGGCGUAAAGCGUGAUUAAAGUUUCUAAAAAUUAAAGUUAAACUGAAAUUAAGCUGUGACACGCUUAUUUUAAGGAAAACCUAAUACGAAAGUUACUUUAACUAAAUCUACUUGAACUCACGACAAUUAGGACACAAACUGGGAUUAGAUACCCCACUAUGCCUAAUCGUAAACUUUAAUUUACAACAAUAUCGCCAGGGAACUACGAGCAAAGCUUAAAACCCAAAGGACUUGACGGUACCCCAAAUCCACCUAGAGGAGCCUGUCCUAUAACCGAUACCCCCCGUUUAACCUCACCAUUUUUAGCCUCUCAGCCUGUAUACCUCCGUCGUCAGCUUACCACGUGAGCGAACACUAGUGAGCUUAAUGUUUAUACACCAACACGUCAGGUCAAGGUGCAGCAUAUGAAAUGGAAAGAGAUGGGCUACACUUUCUAAUAUAGAAUACACGAAGGACUAUUUAUGAAACCUAGUCUGAAGGAGGAUUUAGAAGUAAAAAAAAACAAGAGCGUUUUCUUUAACUAGGCACUGGGGUGUGUACACACCGCCCGUCACCCUCUUCAAAGCUCAAUUAUAGUAACUAACUUAAAUUCGCUAAACAGAAGAGGCAAGUCGUAACAUGGUAAGUAUACCGGAAGGUGUGCUUGGAA
rnacentral:ncRNA from 1 species